rnacentral:rRNA from 1 species
AGAGUUUGAUCCUGGCUCAGGACGAACGCUGGCGGCGUGCCUAACACAUGCAAGUCAGGGGGAAAGCUGGCUUCGGCCAGUGAGUACACCGGCGGACGGGUGAGUAACGCGUGAGCAACCUACCCCGCAGACCGGGAUAACCCAUCGAAAGGUGGGCUAAUACUGGAUGAGCGCACGUGCUGCAUGGCAUGUGUGAAAAGGCAGGCAUUAAGCUUGCGCUGCGGGAUGGGCUCGCGUCCCAUUAGCUAGUUGGUGAGGUAACGGCUCACCAAGGCUACGAUGGGUAGCCGGCCUGAGAGGGUGGUCGGCCACAUUGGGACUGAGACACGGCCCAGACUCCUACGGGAGGCAGCAGUGGGGAAUAUUGCGCAAUGCCGGAAACGGUGACGCAGCGACGCCGCGUGGGCGAGGAAGGCCUUCGGGUUGUAAAGCCCUUUCAGUGGGGAAGAAAGGUCCAGGCAGUAACUGGUUUGGAUUUGACGUACCCACAGAAGAAGCCC